GGGGAAUAUUGGACAAUGGGCGGAAGCCUGAUCCAGCAACGCCGCGUGAGGGAUGACGGCCUUCGGGUUGUAAACCUCUUUCAUCACAGACGAAGCCUUUGGGUGACGGUAUGUGGAGAAGAAGCACCGGCCAACUACGUGCCAGCAGCCGCGGUAAUACGUAGGGUGCGAGCGUUGUCCGGAAUUAUUGGGCGUGAAGGGCUCGUAGGCGGUUUGUCGCGUCGGGAGUGAAAUCCAUGGGCUUAACUUAUGGCUUGCUUUCGAUACGGGCAGACUAGAGGUAUGCAGGGGAGAACGGAAUUCCUGGUGUAGCGGUGAAAUGCGCAGAUAUCAGGAGGAACACCGGUGGCGAAGGCGGUUCUCUGGGCAUGUCCUGACGCUGAGGAGCGAGAGUGUGGGGAGCGAAC
rnacentral:rRNA from 1 species